rnacentral:lncRNA from 1 species
GAGAAGGGAGAGGAAAAGGGGCAUGGGGGGACCUUUGAGGCAUGGAGGGCUGCUGGUUUGGAUUCUCUAGGGACCUUAGGGGAGGUCCCUUUAAAUAGGCAUGAGGAUUGAAUCCUAUUCAAUCUCAUAAUACAAGUCCUACUUGCAUUAGGUUUCCUAAUAACUUAAGUUAUUAAACUUAUAUUAAGAAUCCUAUUAGGUGCUAACUCUUGGAGUCCUUGCACCCAAUUAAACAUACCCUCUUUUGCACCCAAGGAAGGCCCCA